rnacentral:rRNA from 1 species
AGAGUUUGAUCCUGGCUCAGAUUGAACGCUGGCGGCAGGCCUAACACAUGCAAGUCGAGCGGAUGACGGGAGCUUGCUCCUUGAUUCAGCGGCGGACGGGUGAGUAAUGCCUAGGAAUCUGCCUGGUAGUGGGGGACAACGUUUCGAAAGGAACGCUAAUACCGCAUACGUCCUACGGGAGAAAGCAGGGGACCUUCGGGCCUUGCGCUAUCAGAUGAGCCUAGGUCGGAUUAGCUAGUUGGUGGGGUAAUGGCUCACCAAGGCGACGAUCCGUAACUGGUCUGAGAGGAUGAUCAGUCACACUGGAACUGAGACACGGUCCAGACUCCUACGGGAGGCAGCAGUGGGGAAUAUUGGACAAUGGGCGAAAGCCUGAUCCAGCCAUGCCGCGUGUGUGAAGAAGGUCUUCGGAUUGUAAAGCACUUUAAGUUGGGAGGAAGGGCAGUAAGUUAAUACCUUGCUGUUUUGACGUUACCGACAGAAUAAGCACCGGCUAACUCUGUGCCAGCAGCCCGCGGUAAUACAGAGGGUGCAAGCGUUAAUCGGAAAUUACUGGGCCGUAAA